CUAGGAUGACAUGUUAUGUACGUGCAGAAACUCCCUGUCCGUUGAAUAGAGGUUGCGUUCGUGAAGAAAAAACCAUCCUCUGUUCUCCAUUGGUUGUUUCUCCCUUUGACCUUAUAUAAACAACGUAAACAGC